rnacentral:rRNA from 1 species
GACGAACGCUGGCGGCGUGCUUAACACAUGCAAGUCGAACGGAACGGCCCCGCCUUGCGGGGGUCCUCGAGUGGCGAACGGGUGAGUAACACGUGGGUGAGCUGCCCUUCACUUUGGGAUAAGCUAAGGAAACUGGGUCUAAUACCGGAUAGGAUCUCAUGCUGCAUGGUGGGGUUGAGAGAGUUUCGGUUGUUGGUGAGGUAGAGGCCUAUCAGCUUGUUGGUGGGGUAGUGGUCUACCAAGGCGUCGAUGGGUAGCGGGCCUGAGAGGGGGUACGGCCAAACUGGGACUGAGAUACGGCCCAGACUCGUAUGGGAGGCAGCAGUGGGGAAUAGUGUACAAGGGGCGGAAGCCUGAUGUAGCAAAGCCGCGUGGGGGAUGACGGGCUGCGGGUUGUAAACUACUGUCGCUUGGGACGAAGCGAUAGUGACGGUACCGGGAGAAGAAGCACCGGCUAACUACGUG